UGCAGACAGUCCUUGCAGCUGCUGCCUAAACAAGUGAAAAAAUAUUUAAAAAACAAGCCAGAAGUCUGCAUGAAGCCAUUUUUGUACUCUGGAGAAUAUAUGUUUGUUUUUCCGAUCUGUCCUUGCCUUGGUGACGUUGUGAACGUAACUGAACGGGACUUGUUUCCCAGCAUGCCUCGGCUGUGGAGCUGAGGGAGAGCUGUUUGUCCUGCUGCCCUGUGAGUUUCCCACUUUUGAACUGGACAGCCCCACAGUGGUGUGGAGUCGCUCCGACCUCAGUCCUCCAACCGUCCACCAGCAUCAAGGAGACGAACUGAAAGAUCCAAACCAGCGUUACAGCGGCCGAACAUCCAUGAAGACUGACGCUCUGGAAACUGGAGACCUCAGCCUGAACCUGACCAACCUCCACCUGUCUGACAGCGCCACCUACACCUGCUCCGUCAGAUCAUUUAGACUGAGAGAUGUCCCACUGCAGGUCAAAGAACCAUUUCCAUCCUGGGCCACAGCUCUGCUGGUUCUGCUGGUUCUGCUGGCUCUUCUGGUUCUCCUGGUUCUGCUGGUUCUCCUGGUUCUUCUGGUUGUCCUGGUUCUCCUGGUUCUUGUUCUCAUCGUCUCUGGAGGUCUUUUAUUUCAUUUCUGGCACUAUUUUAAGUCAGACACGUUGCUGAUGCUGAGGCCCAAAGAAAGGAAGCGUGUGAGACAUGGCCAACUGUGGAGGCUCAGUCUGUCUGUUCUUCUGCUCUUCAUCCAACAUGUCUGCAGCACUUUACAGGACGCUGCAGACUAGUUACCAAAGAACGAGUCAGGAACACAUCAGGAACAAACUGAGACACACAAGUUUUACAGAGACCCAACGAAGAUGAAGAGAAAGCUGCUGUAACCUGGAGACCUCAGUCUGACCCUGAAAUACCCACAGAUGGAGACACAAACACCUCCACCUGCACCGUCUGCAGCAGGGAGGGAAACAUCCUGCUGAAGAAACAAGUGCUGCUCACUGUCAGGGCUCAGUGCUGUAGAUGCAGGUCAGAGGUCAGAGGUCAUGGUGGGACCAGUAUCAGUUUACUCCAUUUAAUCCAUUCAGCCUGUGGCUGAUAAUGUUUCUAAUAAUGACAAACUGGAAACACAACUUUACGAUUGUUUCUUUAACCUCAUAUUUCCUGAAGUAUUCAGACACUUAUUUGAAGCCCCUUCAGCAGGAAUCACAGCAGCAGCUGUUUUUGAUGCAACGAGCCUCGUCCACACCUGGAGUUUCUGUCCUUCUACUUUCUAAAUACUCACAGGCUCAGGCAGUGGGCUCACAAAGAGGGGGCUCUGAGCCCUUUAUCGUUUGCAGUGCUGAUGAACACUCUGAUGUUUGCAGACAAAGUUAUGAUCUGUAGUGAGAGUGAGGAGGAGAGUCUGCAGAGAAGAGAAAGUACAAACAAGGAGAGAUGAGGAGGAGGUCAGGGCUGAUUGAUUUAUGACAGGAGGAGAGCAGUAAGAGUGAAGAGGAGGAGAUGGCAGUGAGACCUGCUGUGAUGGAGACGGUGGCACACAGACAGGAGGAGCUGCAGGUGGCAGAGCUGAAGAUGCUGAGAGUUUGGUUGGAGCUGAGCAGCAUGGACAGGAUUAGAAAGAAGAAGAUCAGAGGGAUCGCUCAGGUCCAGCAGAGCUGCAGUCAGACUGUGUGCUGGAUGCUCCACUCCAGAAACUGACUCAGUGUGUGUGUCAAGUUCACACAGUGCAGAAACAAACAGCCUUCACUUUACAACAUGAUCACAGGUUUAUUGAUCCAUCAGAGCAGCUGGAAGGAAGAGACGAGCUCCUGAACAUUUCCUGAUGCUGCUGCAGAAACAAAGUGAUUCAUUAUUAGUUUGAUUAGAUCUUUAAUGUCACAGCUGUCUGAAACAUGCUGAUGUCACACAGUUUGAUCAGACUGUGCAUUGGUACAUAGUGUUGGUUUUACCUGCAUGAUUUUAUUGUCAUGUUUGUUUAUUGAUAUUUAAAUAUCAGGUUUUAUCCUGAUAUUGUGUGUUUUAGUGUUGUUGCACAAUAUUCUUUUAAUCCACUGUGGAUGCAAUCCACAGCAGGGCAGGGGUGUCCCUCUGCCUGCAUCUGGUGGUGCUACGACGGAGGCCGUGUUCAGGUGUGGAGUGGGGCGGGGCUGUGACGCGCUGUCAGGAGGAGACAGGUCUGUGACAGGAGCCCCGCCCCCUUGUUCUUCUGGCCGGCGUGGUUUCCAUCCUGGGAGAGAAAUUCCUCUCCUGUUUCAGAUAAGGAACAUUUGCCCGCGUGUGGCUGGUCUGUGGGAUUAUGGGAAUUUUAGCCUAUGGAAACAUUUGUUUAGCCUUUGUGUUGACAGUGUAGAGUUAUUUCUGCGGGCAGUGUUUUUAGCGUGUUGAGACUCUUUUUAUUGUAUAGGGGAUUUAACCUGUAACUCUGGUUGUGUCUGUUUCCAUGGAAAUAAAUGGUGUGUUUAAGGCCAACUUAGUGUCUGUGCCCUGAGCACUGACCCACUCACUCCCCUUCUACUUGUAUGUGAACGCACUUUGAGGUGCAGAUUUAGAUCCACCACUUUUAGCGGCUCCACUAACACUGAAGCCUCACACAGAAAGUCAUUUCCAUGUGCCGUUUAUUUACUUUCCGGCUCUUUGAAACUUCGCUGCCAAAUGUGGAGGAAAAGUUUUAUCUGUAGCUAUCUGCAGCAUGUAUAAACUGAUAUUAAUCUUUAACAGGGCUGUCAAAACUGAGAGCAAACAAAAGAACUGCUGUAUAAUGCCAUCCACCCACUUAGUUUAAUUGGUCACAUGACUGCAUCAUAUGACUAAAAUGCGUCAUUGUUUUCAAAGGGCUCAGUUUUUGCAGUCCAGAUUGCAACAUGAAAACUGCCUUUUCAAAAAGCUCAGUAUAUUAUAUCUCAGCUACAGCAGGACUGUGCGGUGACGCGCUGUCAGGAGGAGACAGGUCUGCGACAGGAGCCCCGCCCCCUUGUUCUUCUGGCCGGUGUGGUUUCCAUCCCGGAAGAGAAAUUCCUCUCCUGUUUCAGAUAAGGAACAUUUGCCCGCGUGUGGCUGGACUGUGGGAUUAUGGGAAUUUUAGCAUAUGGAAACAUUUGUUUAGCCUUUGUGUUGACAGUGUAGAGUUAUUUCUGCAGCAGGGUUUUAAGUGUGUUGAGACUCUUUUUAUUGUAUAGGGGAUUUAACCUGUAACUCUGGUUGUGUCUGUUUCCAUGGAAAUAAAUGGUGUGUUUAAGGCCAACUUAGUGUCUGUGCCCUGAGCACUGACCCACUCACUCCCCUUCUAUUUGUAUGUGAACGCACUUUGAGGUGCAGAUUUAGAUCCACCACUUUAAGCGGCUACACUAACACUCAGAGAGUCAGUUGGAGGUGGAGGAGGGGGCGGAGUCUGUCCGGCUGCCUGAGGACACUCAGGUGGAGUGGUGGCACCGUCCUGAGAAGCCUGACAAACAGCAGCAGCAUCACAGAGACCGAGUGAAAGAAAGACGAGCGUGUGAAAAGCGGACAGUUCAGCCUGACCCUUAAACACCCCACAGAGAGAGACAGAUACAGCUGUGUGGCCUGGAGCCAGGGAAACAUCAUCGGAUGGAGAGUCGUGCUGCUCACAGUUACAGGGACGGUUCAGGUCCAGGAUCAAACAUCAGGAACAGAAGCAGCUCCAUUGAUCCGACUCCUCUGAUGGCUGAUCAAUCAGUUUGAUCUGUUUGAUUAUUGAUCAGUGAUGUCAGAGUGGAGUCAGUGUGAUGGUAUGAAAUAUAUCUGAAACUAUCAUAAACAUGUUUUAUCAUAUAACUCAUUUUUCUACAUUUUCUUCUACAGAUCAGUUUAUGUCAGUAUGUCCAUGAAGGUUCUCCAUCAUCCAGGUCAUCGUAGUCGAAGGAGCUUGGAAAGAAAAGCGUCUGGACUUCUUUAAGUUGCUUGAAGACGUUUCACCUUCAUCUGAGAAGCUUCUUCAGUUCUAGGGCUUAAAUCUGGGACUCUUCAAAUGGUGAAGAGUCCCAGAUUUAACUCUGUUGGAGUGUCCCCCUAAGAUCCCUUCCCAGACGCCUUAACGCCCACUCACAUCCUGGGCCAUCUGACCUCAGGAAAUCCCAUGAUAGGGUGAGAGACAAGCUUGUAGACAAACAGCUUUUUACACUAUAAUUACCUGUUUGAGUCCAGUGAGUGUCAAUGACAGGAAAUCCUCACCUGGUGGUGAGUGAGAGAAACCACAGCAGAGACCUCUGUGUUUAAGAAAUGGAUGGUUAUGGUCGCUGAUGCUCUCAGCUGGCUCAGGUUUCACACCAGCACACAGGUACGAGUGCACAAGCUCCCACUGUGGAGUAGACACUACAGGGACUACAUGUGAACGCCUGUGGAACUGUUCACACAGACUGUGUAGUUACAGGAAGCUGCCAGCAGGUGGCAGCGACUAGCUGAACCUCCAGGCCGUGACAGCCAAAUCCAGAAACAACACUAACAAACAUAACAAGAAAACACAAACAAGAAGAAUGACCACUGACACAGGUCUCGGGAACAGUCACCAUUUCUGAUAAUCUUUAAUAACAUGAUGUUUACCAGGAAUGAGUAUCAGUUGUGAUUCAUCUGAGGUUAGCUGGGCUCUUGUUAACCAACCAACUCUGAGAUGCUUGGAGGAAAGGUUGUACUUUGCUGAGUUGGCUUCAUUAGCCAUGAAGAAAAGACUAGCUGGUCAGCUGGAUUGUUGUCGGUAGACACAGGCUUCCAUUGUCUUACUCUAGUGAACUGUUUGAUCUGUUCUUUUCAAACCAUAGAUGGCCACCGCUGGAGAUUGACCACUGCCAGCUUCAUCUGAAACUCAAGGUUGAGGUCACAAAACCACAAGACAGAAAUAAUCCCAAGGUUUUUCUUUGCCCAAGAAGCUGUGGAACAUUUGCUGAAUGUCAGUUAUACUGCAAAGGGUUUGCACUUGAAACAUACAAGCAAACUGUUAUUUAGACCUGAGCCUGGCGUAGCACAUGAAAAAGGGACAUAGUAUUGUACUGAGCACUGAAGUUACACUCAGUAGCACAGGAACAGAGCGGGAGGGAGAGAGAGAGAGCCAGGGACAACAACGUCACAUUAGAAAGGUAUAGUAAUCAUCCACAACUAUUUUCAGUUGCAGAUCAUAAAGGAUUCAGAAAGUUUAUUCAUGCAGGCCCAUAUGACAGAGAAUAUGCAUCUUCUUUUUGUUUUCAUAUUUUAAUUUAUAUUUAAUUGUGUUGUGGUUUGCAGUGUUUUGUGUUGUUUCACUUUACAUUGGUUUAAAAGGAAAAAGCUGAAAAUUUAAAUAGUUAAAAGUUGAAAAGUUGGUUUUUGUAUUAUAUGAUUUAUUCAGUACAUUUUAUCUGGAGUGAAUAAAUAAAAGUAUAUUUGCGGUGGCCCCUACAGACAAAGCAGCACGUACAAACUCCAAAACAUGUACAAACACAACAGAAGUGCUCCAGGAUGCGCAGUGUUGAGCUUUUGUUACCUAGUGGCUACACAAGCCAGCAAGUACCAACAACCGGAUUUGGUGUGUGGUAGUAACAGGUAAAUGAACUUUUUUUUUAAAUUAUUUGAAUAUAUAUGAGUGCUUGUGUAUAAAUACACAAACAAUACACAUAUGCUUUCAACUGUGUAAUUUAAGUGAUCUAGGUAGCUCUGUUUUGGAAGUUCAGUUCAUGCUACAAAUGUGUUUUGGAGUUUGUACGUGCUUUGUCUCUAGGGGCCAUUUAAACAUAUAUGUAUAUAAACAUAUAUAAAUAAAAACACUUUUUUAACAUUAGUAAUUCCUUUUGUGCAUAAUUUUAUAUUAUUGUUAAUAAUAAAUUAAUUAAAGCAACAAAACAACUGAAGAGCCAGUUCUCUGGUCCCCUCCCCAAUCAGACCAGGAGUGACAUGUUUAGCCGCAUGUUCUCCUUAAAUUGCUGGCUGUCUGAGUGGUGUCCCAGAAACGAUGUGGGCUUCAUAGAUAAUUGGCAAACCUUCUGGAGGAAACC
ensembl:lncRNA